UUGUGGAAAUAGAUUCUCCACCCCAGCCUCACCCUCACCUUCAUACCAGAAAAAAAAUUUCUCUGAGCUGAGAAUUAUAUUAACUUUUCCUUUCCCUUCAUUUGUUUGUAGAAUGACUGAAGGUAUUUACUGCACUUCCUCACCUUUGCUGUUCUUUACUGAACUCUGUGACUGUGAACUCCAGCACCCAGUAUUUGUCAUGAAGUCCUGCUGAUUAGAGAGGAAAAAAGGCUGAAUUUAAAGUGAAGAAUCAGUCUUCAAUUCGAGAUUAUGAACAAAUACUAUGGAGAAAAACUAACUUCUUCACUCUGGUGAGGCAUUUGCUGGUGAAAAUGGAAAAUGAGAAAACAAGUGUGGAAAGGGAGUGAAGAACAUCUUGCAAUAACAAAGGGAACACAAAGGAUAUGGAAAAAAUAAGAAGCACAUGGAAUUUGGGAAAAAAGAAACACAUGGGAGGGCUCAACCUCAAUCAGAAAAUUGGAACCCCAGAGGAUCAAUGAAAGUAGAAGAUUCUAAUAGACAUCAAAGCACACACUGUAUGUGGAGGGCAGGAACACAGACACCGAGUGCAAGAGCAUAAAGUCUUAAAUCUACCAGAAGCAAUAUGACUCUAGACUUAAAAAAGCAGAAACAAUACAAUAUCCCCCAAUCACUUCAGACCUGGCUUUUAUUACAACAGAGCUUUAGUGUUGAUUAGGCACCUAUUGUAUUCACUCUAAGAUCCAUUUUCCUGAAAGCUUAUGCCAUCUCUUGUUAUAAAAGAGGAAGCAGGCAUGCCCCAGUCACAAUGGAAAGGUGGAUUAUGAUAGUUAGUGAACAGGAGACAGCCACACUGGUUUUCAACAAAGAGAGUUGGACUAUCAGCAGAGCCGUAGAAUACCAGUGAGAGAGAGAGGUUAGGAUAGAAAGAAGCCAACGAAUUGGGCAUACAACUAAAAAAAAAUUAGAAAAAGAACAAAUUAAAAAUCCUCAA